rnacentral:rRNA from 1 species
CCCUUAGAUGUUCUGGGCUGCACGCGCGCUACACUGACGCACGCAACAGGUGCCUGCUCCGAGAGGACUGGGUAAUCAUUUGAGUGUGCGUCGUGAUGGGGAUAGAAUAUUGUAAUUAUUACUCUUCAACGAGGAAUUCCUAGUAAGCGCCAGUCAGCAGCUUGCGCUGAUUACGUCCCAGCCCUUUGUACACACCGCCCGUCGCUCCUACCGAUGGGUGAUCCGGUGAAUGAUUCGGACUUCAGCGGCUCCCCUGGGGUGCGCCGGAGAAAGUUUUGUGAACCUUAUCACUUGGAGGAAGGAGAAGUCGUAACA